GCUUAUUUAAUUUUGAAAUCAACAUAAUUAACAACCAUUAGAAUGUGCACAAGUGACUGAUGUAGAAUGUACGUGAACGAUGUAAACCUCAUAUCACCAAAGUUAGGUUAAAAAAUCAACAAAACAAAAAUGAAGUUGGAAACUACAACUAGUAGUCUAAGUCUACUAUUUAUCGUUGAAAAUUGAAACUAACAUUUUUUUUAAACAAGUCGAAAUUAACACUCAAUUGAAUAUUGAAAUUUGAGAGCAUAGUAAUGGUUGUGGAUGAUACACGUAAAAAAUUAUUGGAUCGUGCAUAUCCUGACUUACUCCAAUUAUUCAUAAGUAUAAUAUAUUUAAGCAUUUACUCAAUAAUUGGACUUCCAACUGUUUACAAAACAUAAAAUAUCUUCAUAUCAUUAUCAUCAACAGUAAUUUUGAUAUUAAAUAUAUAUGAUAACAUGUCGUUUAAUAAAAUCAUAUCAUUAGUUGUGAUUAUGUUAAUGGAGGAGUUCAACCUACGACCUCUUUACAACUCUUACAUGUAUGCCUUUCCUUCAAAAUAUGAAGCCAUCUUUUUUCCCUAUAUCAUAUACAUUAAAUCAUUUGCUCAAAGUUUAACGGAUAUACAUUAUUGUUGUAAAAUAUUUUUACAUCAACAUCUGAACAAAACUCAUGCACUCAUGCCAUUACUAUUUAAGUACAAAAUGUUUGAUUUUUUUUUAUUUUUUAAGAAGUUAAACUAACUCACCUGCAUAGACUUUGAUCACACUCCAGUCCCAAAAUAUUUGAUUCUUAUCAAAGGUCCCUCUAAAUUUAGUUCAUCCUUACAUUGCAUGUCUCUUUUUUUUUUUUCAUUGAUUAAUUUAUUUUCCUAAAAAUAAUUUUGUUGAAAAUGCAAUAUAUGUAUAACUGAAAACAAAAUUAUUUGAGUUAAUUAAUUACCAGAAUCAAUGGCUUGAUGCUUUCAACGCUAAAAACAGAGUCAUCCUCUUGUUGACAAUGAUCAAGCAAAACAUCCAAGAAAUCACCAGCAACCACGCCACCAUCAUGCGAAUUACUAUUUCUAUCUUCAACACGUUUUUGAAUCAUACGAUCAAAAAUCUCAUGCAAUCUUACAUAUGAAACCUUAACGUGUCUCUUCACACCUUGCAGAUCAAACAUCUUCACCACUGGAAAAUAAUCAGAAACAUUCACUUUCCCAGCAUCUUCCAUUAUCCUCCAUACAAGCUCUUUAAACUCACCAGCACUCUCGAACUCCGAAUCAACAAGGUCCUCUGAGAACACCGUGUUGGAAACCAAGUUCAACAUGGUGGCGAAAGCAAGUUCACCUAUGUCAACGGUUGUUUUCUCUGCUGCUUUUUUGUGAAGGUGUUGGACUAGUUGCUCAACUUUCCGGUGACGGAGAUGUUGGAGAAGGUCAAGGCGGUGGGUGGUGAAUAUUUGUGUGGUGCAGAUACGUCUACGGUUACGCCACCGUGAGUCGGCAUGGGACCAUGCGAGUGUGUCGUUGACGUUGGGUUGAGCAGCAACUGAUUCAGGGAUAGGGCGGUUGGCGAAGGAUUGGUCGUUUUUUUGGAGGAUUUCUUGGGCGGUUUUCGGGGAGGAAGCAACGGUGACGGUGACGGAGCCGAAGCGGAGGGACAUGAUGGGGCCAUAGGUUU
rnacentral:lncRNA from 1 species